rnacentral:rRNA from 1 species
UGGGGAAUAUUGGACAAUGGGCGGAAGCCUGAUCCAGCAACGCCGCGUGAGGGAUGACGGCCUUCGGGUUGUAAACCUCUUUCAGUACCGACGAAGCGCCGGUUGAUGGUGGUGACGGUAGGUACAGAAGAAGCACCGGCCAACUACGUGCCAGCAGCCGCGGUAAUACGUAGGGUGCGAGCGUUGUCCGGAAUUAUUGGGCGUAAAGGGCUCGUAGGCGGUUUGUCGCGUCGGGAGUGAAAUCCACGAGCUUAACUGGUGGCUUGCUUUCGAUACGGGCAGACUAGAGGCAUGCAGGGGAGAACGGAAUUCCUGGUGUAGCGGUGAAAUGCGCAGAUAUCAGGAGGAACACCGGUGGCGAAGGCGGUUCUCUGGGCAUGUCCUGACGCUGAGGAGCGAAAGUGUGGGGAGCGAACAGGAUUAGAUACCCUGGUAGUCCACACCGUAAACGUUGGGCGCUAGGUGUGGGAUCCAUUCCACGGGUUCCGUGCCGCAGCUAACGCAUUAAGCGCCCCGCCUGGGGAGUACGGCCGCAAGGCUAA